GAUGAACGCUGGCGGCGUGCCUAAUACAUGCAAGUCGAGCGAACAGAUGAGGAGCUUGCUCCUCUGACGUUAGCGGCGGACGGGUGAGUAACACGUGGAUAACCUACCUAUAAGACUGGGAUAACUUCGGGAAACCGGAGCUAAUACCGGAUAAUAUAUUGAACCGCAUGGUUCAAUAGUGAAAGACGGUUUUGCUGUCACUUAUAGAUGGUUCCGCGCCGCAUUAGCUAGUUGGUAAGGUGACGGCUUACCAAGGCAACGAUGCGUAGCCGCCCUGAACGGGUGAUCGGCCACCCUGGAACUGAGACACGGUCCAGACUCCUACGGGAGGCAGCAGUAGGGAAUCUUCCGCAUUGGGCGAAAUCCUGACGGAGCAACGCCGCGUGAGUGAUGAAGGUCUUCGGAUCGUAAAACUCUGUUAUUAGGGAAGAACAAAUGUGUAAGUAACUAUGCACGUCUUGACGGUACCUAAUCAGAAAGCCACGGCUAACUACGUG
rnacentral:rRNA from 1 species